UACGUAGGGUGCAAGCGUUGUCCGGAAUUAUUGGGCGUAAAGAGCUCGUAGGCGGCUCGGUAAGUCGGGUGUGAAACCUCCAGGCUCAACCUGGAGACGCCACCCGAUACUGCUGUGGCUAGAGUCCGGUAGGGGAGCGUGGAAUUCCUGGUGUAGCGGUGAAAUGCGUAGAUAUCGGGAGGAACACCUGUGGCGAAAGCGGCGCACUGGACCACAACUGACGCUGAGGCGCGAAAGCUAGGGGAGCAAACAGG
rnacentral:rRNA from 1 species